UUUGUUUUGCUUUUAUCCAUAUUUUCUCUAUGUAGGUUUUUAUUAUAUCGGCACUUCAUUCAUAAACGGAUUUAGGUAUUGGUGUUAGGAUUUAGGAUGAAUUUAUCUGUAAUGGACACCACACCUGAAAUGAAGGAGACGAGGAAUGUAGAAAAAUUGUUUUAAAUAUUAACUUUUCUUCCCAUGCAGAAGAAAUAAUUUAGAAUUAUUGGUGAAAAAGGUAACAUUUACCAUUAAAAAAUAAGAUUUGUUUGAAUUAUGUUUAGGGAGGAAAUAAAUUGGUGUUCGGAUGAAAGGAUUUGAGAUAUCCUCAAGAAUGGUUAGGAUACGGUUGGAAGAAAAUGGAUGUCUGACCCGAUAUUCUUGGUUUAAUCUUAUGUGCAAUUGAAACUAGCUCAAAAUCUGCUCAAUCCAAUGAUAACGUGUCCUUUAUACAACUCGUGUAAUACAUGAUUUGAAA
rnacentral:lncRNA from 1 species